AGCAGCAGCCGCGGUAAUACGGAGGGAGCUAGCGUUGUUCGGAAUCACUGGGCGUAAAGCGCACGUAGGCGGCUAUUCAAGUCAGGGGUGAAAGCCCGGGGCUCAACCCCGGAACUGCCUUUGAAACUAGAUAGCUUGAAUUUUGGAGAGGCGAGUGGAAUUCCGAGUGUAGAGGUGAAAUUCGUAGAUAUUCGGAAGAACACCAGUGGCGAAGGCGACUCGCUGGACAAGUAUUGACGCUGAGGUGCGAAAGCGUGGGGAGCAAACAGGAUUAGAUACCCCAGUAGUCCCUGUCUCUUAUAC
rnacentral:rRNA from 1 species